GGGAAUUAGCUCAGUUGGUAGAGCAUCUGCUUUGCAAGCAGAGGGUCAUCGGUUCGAAUCCGACAUUCUCC
rnacentral:tRNA from 1 species